rnacentral:rRNA from 1 species
CAGCAGCCACGGUAAUACGGAGGGAGCUAGCGUUGUUCGGAAUUACUGGGCGUAAAGCGCACGUAGGCGGCUUUGUAAGUUAGAGGUGAAAGCCUGGAGCUCAACUCCAGAAUUGCCUUUAAGACUGCAUCGCUUGAAUCCAGGAGAGGUGAGUGGAAUUCCGAGUGUAGAGGUGAAAUUCGUAGAUAUUCGGAAGAACACCAGUGGCGAAGGCGGCUCACUGGACUGGUAUUGACGCUGAGGUGCGGAAGCGUGGGGAGCAAACAGGAUUAGAUACCCCAGUAGUCCCUGUCUCUUAUAA